rnacentral:tRNA from 4 species
GGGCGUUUAGCUCAGUUGGUUCAGAGCAUCUGCCUUACAAGCAGAGGGUCGGCGGUUCGAAUCCGUCAACGCCCA